CUUAAAGCAAUGAUUAGAACAGAAAAACGAUUAAAUACUAUCAAGCGAGCCGGCACCUAGUGAAAGACCGGUUAGUCCCUUUAAUUUGUUAGAUCCUCUAUGAGUGUUGAAUUGAAAGCAGUAAAUUCAACCGUUUGAUUGGCGUUAACAAUUACUUGAGAAAAAGAAGCAAUUCUUUUGAAACUUGGGUGGUACCACGAAGACUUCGUCCCUAUA
rnacentral:ncRNA from 1 species